AUGGCUGCGGCGGGCGGGCGGCGGCGCGCGUGCGCGCUGGGUCCCGGAGCUGCGGGCGGGAGGCGGGGACGGUGGGGGAGGGGAGCGGGCUGGAGCGCGGCGGAGCUCCUGCCGCCGCCGCAGCCGCUGCCGCCGCAGCGAAGAGGCCAUGUUGUGUGGUGUGUGGGGCGGGGGGAGGAGGAGGAGGGAGUAAAGCCUAGAGAGGAGACGGGAGAGAGACACCACACACACGGCACAAGAUGGCCGGAGAGGCAGCAGCACCCCGAGCUGUCAGGCGUUCCGCCGCGGCCGCGGGGCCCACCAGCCGGCGGGGAGCUACGCCCGGACGGCCCGCAGGCCCGUGGGAGUGGGGCGGCCGCGGCUGAGGCGAGGCGGGCCGCGCGCGUUGGCGUCAGAGCCCGCGGCAGAGGCUCCCAGAGCGGCCGGGCCCACGACGCCGAAAGCGCCGCUGCGGUUGCCGCCUCGGAGGCUUCCCCGGGCCCCGGCGGCUGGACCCGGCGCGGGCGGGAGGCUCGGGCGGGCGGUCCGGCCCGGGACUCGGACUUGGGCGACCAGGAGGUGCCGGCUGCCGCGCUCGGACCCGGUGACUUAGAGAUUAAAAUAAAUUUGGUUGCUGAUGGUUCUGAACAAAUAGAGUUCUUUUAUUUGAGGUAUGCCAUUUUGAAGACUGAGACGUUGGAGUUUUAUCCUUGAGGAUAAAAGAAAUCUUUGGGAAAGUCAGUAUUUUAUAUAGCAAAAAUAAUGAACCUCAAAGUGAAUCCUCUAAAGGCCCCAUACAAUGAAGUAGACAUUGGUGGAAGCAUUUA
rnacentral:lncRNA from 1 species